GACGAACGCUGGCGGCGUGCUUAACACAUGCAAGUCGAACGGAAAGGCCCUGCUUUUGUGGGGUGCUCGAGUGGCGAACGGGUGAGUAACUCGUGAGUAACCUGCCCUUGACUUUGGGAUAACUUCAGGAAACUGGGGCUAAUACCGGAUAGGAGCUCCUGCUGCAUGGUGGGGGUUGGAAAGUUUCGGCGGUGGGGGAUGGACUCGCGGCUUAUCAGCUUGUUGGUGGGGUAGUGGCUUACCAAGGCUUUGACGGGUAGCCGGCCUGAGAGGGUGACCGGCCACAUGGGGACUGAGAGACGGACCAGACUCCUACGGGAAGCAGCAGUGGGGAAUAUUGCACAAGGGGCGGAAGCAUGAUGCAGCACCGCCGCGGGGGGGAUGACGGCCUUCGGGUGGUAAACCGCUUUCGCCUGUGACGAAGCGUGAGGGACGGUAAUGGGUAAAGAAGAACCGGCGAACUACGU
rnacentral:rRNA from 1 species